rnacentral:rRNA from 1 species
UGGGGAAUUUUCCGCAAUGGGGGCAACCCUGACGGAGCAACGCCGCGUGCGGGAGGAAGGCCUUUGGGUUGUAAACCGCUUUUCUCAGGGAAGAAGCUCUGACGGUACCUGAGGAAUCAGCCUCGGCUAACUCCGUGCCAGCAGCCGCGGUAAUACGGAGGAGGCAAGCGUUAUCCGGAAUUAUUGGGCGUAAAGCGUCCGUAGGCGGUUUAUCAAGUCAGUUGUUAAAGACUGCAGCUCAACUGUGGGCGAGCAACUGAAACUGAUUAACUAGAGUGCGGUAGGGGUAGAGGGAAUUCCCAGUGUAGCGGUGAAAUGCGUAGAUAUUGGGAAGAACACCAGUGGCGAAGGCGCUCUACUGGGCCGCAACUGACGCUGAGGGACGAAAGCUAGGGGAGCGAAAGGGAUUAGAUACCCCCGUAGUCC